GACGAACGCUGGCGGCGUGCUUCAUACAUGCAAGUCGAGCGAGGAGCUUGCUCCGAGCGGCGAACGGGUGAGUAACACGUGGGCAACCUGCCCUUGGCUCUGGGAUAACUCCGGGAAACCGGGGCUAAUACCGGAUACGACCACCGAGGACAUCUUCUGGUGGUGGAAAGAACUUCGGCCAAGGAUGGGCCCGCGGCCUAUCAGGUAGUUGGUGGGGUAACGGCCUACCAAGCCUACGACGGGUAGCCGGCCUGAGAGGGCGACCGGCCACACUGGG
rnacentral:rRNA from 1 species